AACGAACGCUGGCGGCAUGCCUAACACAUGCAAGUCGAACGAGAUCUUCGGAUCUAGUGGCGCACGGGUGCGUAACGCGUGGGAAUCUACCCUUAGGUCCGGAAUAACUUCGGGAAACUGAAGCUAAUACCGGAUGAUGACGUAAGUCCAAAGAUUUAUCGCCUAAGGAUGAGCCCGCGUAGGAUUAGCUUGUUGGUGAGGUAAAGGCUCACCAAGGCGACGAUCCUUAGCUGGUCUGAGAGGAUGAUCAGCCACACUGGGACUGAGACACGGCCCAGACUCCUACGGGAGGCAGCAGUGGGGAAUAUUGGACAAUGGGCGAAAGCCUGAUCCAGCAAUGCCGCGUGAGUGAUGAAGGCCUUAGGGUUGUAAAGCUCUUUUACCCGGGAUGAUAAUGACAGUACCGGGAGAAUAAGCUCCGGCUAACUCCGUGCCAGCCGCCGCAGUAA
rnacentral:rRNA from 1 species